rnacentral:rRNA from 1 species
UACGGAGGGGGCUAGCGUUGUUCGGAAUUACUGGGCGUAAAGCGCGCGUAGGCGGCUUUGUAAGUUAGAGGUGAAAGCCCGGAGCUCAACUCCGGAAUUGCCUUUAAGACUGCAUCGCUAGAAUCAUGGAGAGGUUAGUGGAAUUCCGAGUGUAGAGGUGAAAUCCGUAGAUAUUCGGAAGAACACCAGUGGCGAAGGCGACUAACUGGACAUGUAUUGACGCUGAGGUGCGAAAGCGUGGGGAGCAAACAGG